rnacentral:ncRNA from 1 species
CUUGGGGAGCUUGAUGGCGCGCGGUUGCGCCGCUUGAAGGCUGAGAGGGAGUUUUGGCUCCGACCCAUAGAACCUGACAUGGAUAAUGCCAACGAAGGGAGAAUUAUG